rnacentral:rRNA from 1 species
UCGGGUGACCAUAGCGAGAGGGACCCACCCGUUCCCAUCCCGAACACGGAAGUUAAGCCUCUCAGCCCCGAUGGUACUGCGCGCGCGAGUGCGUGGGAGAGUAGGAAGUUGCCCGGA